AUACUUACCUGGCAGGGGUGAUACCCUGAUCAGAAAAGUGGUUCGCCCAUAGCGAGGCUCAGCCAUUGCACUCGGGCUGUGCUGUCCUUUGUUAAUUCCCCAAAUGCGGGAAUCUCGACUGAAUAAUUUCUGGUUUCGGGGGACUGCGUUCGCGUUCUCCCCUG
rnacentral:snRNA from 1 species